UACGAAGGUCCCAAGCGUUAUUCGGAAUCACUGGGCGUAAAGGGAGCGUAGGCGGCGUGGUAAGUCAGAUGUGAAAUCCCGGGGCUCAACCCCGGAACUGCAUCCGAUACUGCCAUGCUAGAGGAUUGGAGAGGUAGCUGGAAUUCUUGGUGUAGCAGUGAAAUGCGUAGAGAUCAAGAGGAACACUCGUGGCGAAAGCGAGCUACUGGACAAUUCCUGACGCUGAUGCUCGAAGGCUAGGGUAGCGAAAGGG
rnacentral:rRNA from 1 species